CAGUAGCCGCGGUAAUACGAAGGGUGCAAGCGUUAAUCGGAAUUACUGGGCGUAAAGCGUGCGCAGGCGGUUUGUUAAGACAGAUGUGAAAUCCCCGGGCUCAACCUGGGAACUGCAUUUGUGACUGGCAAGCUAGAGUGUGGCAGAGGGGGGUGGAAUUCCGCGUGUAGCAGUGAAAUGCGCAGAUAUGCGGAGGAACACCGAUGGCGAAGGCAGCCCCCUGGGCCAACACUGACGCUCAUGCACGAAAGCGUGGGGAGCAAACAGGAUUAGAUACCCCAGUAGUCCCUGUCUCUUAUCC
rnacentral:rRNA from 1 species